GUCAGCUGACGUGUCCUAAACAGGACGAAGCGCGCGUCCCGGAU
rnacentral:hammerhead_ribozyme from 1 species